rnacentral:sRNA from 1 species
AUACUGCGUGAGGGAUAGUAGUGGAGCUUUUUUUCUUGAUUUUUUUAUCAAGAAAAAAAGCGGGAACGGAUAGCCCGGCCCUUG